rnacentral:lncRNA from 1 species
CUGUCAAACCUGGAGGGAGCUUCAUAUAGACCUCCUCAUCUAAAUCACCAUGCAAGAAAGCAUUAUUAACAUCUAGUUGAAACAAAUUCCAAUGAUUUUUUACAGCCACAGCAAUAAGAUACUUAACAGUGCACAUUUUAACCACAGGAGAAAAGGUGUCAGUGAAAUCAAUACCUUCAACCUGAGUAUCACCUCUAAUAACAAGUCUGGACCAGGAGGAAGAGGAACAACAUCCCAAGUGUGGUUUGUGUCCAAAGCAUCAAACUCUUGUCUCAUGGCAUCCUGCCAUGCUGGAACAGAUGCAGCUUGAGAGUAACAUAGAGGCUCAGAUUCCUAAGAGGAGGAAGAUGAACCAGAAAAGGCAGGUAGUUGACAAACAUAAUCCUUAAGAUAAGUGGGAGGAUUAUGCUGUCUUUGAGACUUUUUGGGAGCAGGAACAGAAGGAGAAGAAGCUAGGACAGGAGGUGAGAUAUCAGGAUUGAAAGAAGGAGUGAAGGUAGAGUCAGAAGAGUUAGGGUCAGUAUAAGGAGGUACUUGCACAGAUGUAGGAGAAGGAGGUGAGGAGAGGAGGAUGGGAGAAUCAGAAUCAUCAUCAUGUUCUCCAGAAGGAACAAAAGGAAAGGAUAAAGCAGAAGGAUAAGCAGAAGAAGAUACAGUUUUAAAAGGAAAACAUUAUUCAUGAAAUAUGACAUCCCUGGAAACCAAAUAUUUCUUUGAAGCAAGAUCAUACAAUUUAUAAACCUUUUUUGCAAAAGGGUAACCCAUGAAAACACAAGCAAGGGCUCUUGGCUUUAACUUGUCCCUUUGAGGGAUUGCGACAGUGGCAUAGGCAAGGCAACCAAAUGUUCUCAAGUGAGUAUAGGUUGGAAUUUUCCCAUACAAGAUUUCAUGAGGAGAUUUAUUGUGAAGUAAUCUGGUUGGUAUUCUGUUAAGGAGGUAGGUGGCAGUCAACAAACAGCCCCCCCAGAAAGAUACAGGCAAGCCAGAUUGAAAAAGCAAAGCUCUACAGGUUUCAAGGAGGGUUCUAUGCUUCCUCUCAACAACACCAUUCUGUUGAGGGGAAUGAGAGCAGGUGGUUUGAUGAAUGAUCCCCUGACUACUAACGAAAGAUCUACCCUCAAUGCUAGAACCCAAUUCUAAAGCAUUGUCACUUCUAACGAUUUGAACCACAGCAUAAACAACAACAUUCUGUUGAGGGGAAUGAGAGCAGGUGGUUUGAUGUAUGAUCCCCUGACUACUAAAGAAAGAAGUACCUUCAAUGCUAGAUCCCAAUUCUAAGGCAUUGUCACUUCUAACAGUUUUAACCACAUCAUUAAAUUGGGUUUUAACCAGAGAAAGGAAUGACUUAAGCAUAGAAAUGCUUUUGGAUCCCAUUAAGUGUGUCCAUGUUGCCCUAGAAAAAUCAUCAACAAUUGUAAGN